AUUAGGUUUUCCAAUUUCGGUAGGAAAAUCCGAAAUUCAAAAAGGAAAGAGAGUUCAUAAAAUCAUUUUAUGGGCAGAAGAGAGAAAUAACAAAAAUUGAGGAGGGCAAAAUUGGGUUUUCACACUGAACCUCGCGUAAGCAUUCAUAUUUGGCCCCAAAUUUUGAAAAUUAGUUCAACAGAAUUCUUGACUUCCGAGUUCCAGCUACAUUAACGAUUUUGAGAUGUGUUCCGACAUAGUCUACCACACCAAUCUCUACGUUAAUGUCUGCUAGUUGUUACUCUUCUCUUUUGUGAAUUCAAAUUUUGAGUUAGAUUUUUUGGGGAUAAUAUAUAUCAAACUGCCAUGAUAAUUCAUAGGCCAAGUUCAAGGAACCUCAAGCCUCUUUCCAAAUUUUCCUGCACAUUUCGAUCGUUUGAUGUAUUCCGCUCUUCUUCAGUUGAAGUGAGUCCAGAAAAAUGCGGUGGGCUGUCGAAAUUUUCAAAUUUCAAGAAUGCGCAGAACCCGUUUGAUGAACCUCCGCAGAGAGAUGUCUCGUAUUACAACCAUUUGCUGUUCGAGUACUCUCGCGAUGGCCUAAAUCAAGAAGUGUUGAAAACGUACGCGUUUAUGAAUCGCGCGGGUGUUUUGGUUGACGGGAGCAGCCUAUCUUGCAUCUUAAAGGCUUCUACGAGAUUGCAAGAUUAUGCUUUUGGUAGGCAGAUACAUUGCCACAGUCUUAAAAAUGGGUUCUUUGAGGAUGUCAGUGUCGGAACCUCGCUUGUCGACAUGCAUGUCAAGAAUGGGAAUUUGGAUGACGGGAAGAGAGUGUUUGAUGAGAUCAGAGUGAAGAACGUGGUGACUUGGACGUCGUUGCUCACGGGGUAUGCUAUCAAAAGGAUGAUCCAAAAGGUCGUAGAAGUUUUCAGUUUGAUGAAGUCUGAGGGAGUUGAGCCAAAUCCUUUCACGUUUGCAACUGUUCUUGGAGCUUUGGCAGGUGAAGGUGCAGUAGGGAUUGGAGCUCAGUUGCAUGGUAUGACUGUGAAGAACGGGCUUGAUUCGACCCGGGAGGUGGGGAAUGCUUUGGUUAGUCUGUAUUCAAAGUCUGGGAUGAGUAGAGAGGCUAGGUAUGUGUUUGAUGGAACUGACUGCAGGGAUGCAGUCUCUUGGAAUGGGAUGAUUGCAGGUCUUAUGAUGAACGGGUUUGACUUGGAUGCUAUCGGGCUGUUCUAUAGAAUGAGGGUUGCUGGCAUAGAGUUCACAGAAACAACUUUUGCCACUGCUCUUAAGCUGUGUUCUAACCUUAAAGAAUUGGGUUUUGCCUGGCAACUCCACUGCCAGGUCGUGAGGCGUGGGUUUGGUAGUUUUGACAAUGUUAGAACGGCUCUUAUGAUGUGCUACAUGAAAGGUUCUCAGAUGGAUGAUGCAUUGAAGAUGUUCUCACUGAUGGAUACAGUUCAAAGUGUGGUGUCAUGGACAGCAAUUAUUGGAGGAUACAUGAAAAAUGGUCGAACAUUAGAAGCAACCAAUAUAUUUCUCCAGAUGCGGAGAGAAUCUGUGAGGCCUAAUCACUACACUUAUUCUACAAUUCUUGCAGCUCUUCCAACUAAUUCUUUGUUUCAAGUGCAUGCCGAGAUCAUCAAAACCAAUUAUGAAAACUCAACUUCAGUAGGAACAGCAUUGGUUAACGCUUAUAUUAAAAUGGGCAAGACUGAUAAUGCAGCGAAAGUUUUUAGGCAAAUAGAAGAGAAGGACAUUGUUGCUUGGUCUGCAAUGUUAGUUGCGUAUGCUCAGCAAGACGAUACUGAGGGAGCUGUAAAGUUUUAUGGUCAGUUAGCCAAGGAAGGUGUCUGGCCAAAUAACUUCACUUACUCUAUUAUAAUAAAUGCAUGUGCGACACACUCGGCUGCUACAGAUCAAGGAAAGCAGUUUCAUGCAAGCUCAAUCAAAUCUGGUUAUAACAACACUCUAAUUGUAAGCAGUUCCCUUGUUACUAUGUAUGCAAAGAAAGGGGAUAUUGAGAGUGCCAAUGAGGUCUUCAAGAGGCAGAAGGAAAGAGACUUAGUUUCUUGGAACUCGAUGAUCUCGGGGUAUGCACAACAUGGUUAUGGUGAAAAGGCCCUCGGUGUGUUUAAGGAAAUGCAAAAGAGAAAUUUAGAGAUGGAUGAGAUUACAUUUAUCGGUGUAAUAUCUGCCUGCACCCACACAGGAUUGGUAAAUGAAGGUGAAGUGUAUUUCGACAUGAUGGUGAACAAACUUCAAAUUUCUCCCACCAUGGAGAUAUAUUCAUGCAUGGUUGAUCUGUACAGCAGAGCUGGGAUGUUAGACAAAGCUAUGGCGCUUAUUGAUGGAAUGUUGUUUCCUGCUGGUGCAACUAUUUGGCGUACUCUCUUGGCUGCAUGCCGAGUUCAUCGAAAUAUAGAGAUUGGAAAAUUCGCAGCUGAAAAACUUAUUUCCUGUCAGCCACAGGAUUCAUCUGCUUAUGUUUUGUUAGCUAAUUUAUAUGCUGCCACAGGAAACUGGGAAGAUAGGACAAAAGUGAGAAAACUGAUGGAUGAGAGAAAAGUUAGAAAAGAAACUGGCUAUAGCUGGAUUGAAGUGAAGAAAAAGACGUACACUUUUAUGGCUAGCGAUGUUUUACAUCCACUAUCUGAUCAAAUUUAUAGGAAACUUGGAGAAUUAAGUAUUCGUUUGAAGGAUGAAGGAUAUCAGCCAGAUACAAAUUAUGUACUUCAUGAUAUUGAAGAGGAACAGAAAGAAGCCAUCCUUUCUCGGCACAGUGAAAGGCUGGCUAUUGCCUUUGGGUUGAUUUCACUAUCUCAUGGCAUUCCGAUACGGAUCAUAAAGAAUCUCAGGGUCUGUGGUGACUGCCAUAUGGUGAUUAAGCUGAUUUCAAAAAUAGAAGGGAGAGAAAUUAUUGUAAGGGAUUCAAAUAGAUUCCACCACUUUAGCAAAGGCUUAUGCUCUUGUGGAGAUUACUGGUAACACUUUUAUAAGUUACAAGAAGUAAGGAAUUUGUGAUUUUGGGGAAGCAUGAAUAGAUUUUGGGGAGAGCUUUAGAUCUGCAGAAAAGAAAGUGGUGUUACUCAUUCAUGGAAAGAUGACUUGUCUCACUCACACACUUCUUAGAGAGAGUAUGUUAAGACCAAUCGGGCUCCUGACGACAUGCAUUCCAUCAGUCCAUGUUAAAGCUCCAAACACAAAGUUCUCUUCACUGGUUUUAUAGGGUGUGAAAUUUAUCAUGAAAGACAUCUUUUCCCCCAUCUUUUUGAAGCUGAGUUUGUUAGGAGUGACUGAGACAUAUACACCAGCUGGAGAGUCGACUUCUGCCUUGUAAACAGCAGGCCCUUCCCCAUAAUACGUAACUGUCCUAUGCACUGAUAUAUUUCCUUUCAGGUUCGAGAUUCCAAUUGAUGGAUAAUUGAAAUCGUAUGAGGAUGUUUUGGUGUUUCUGCAAUAUGUGGUCUCACCGGUGAGGUUUUUCAGCUGAGCAGGGCUUGCACCAGUGCUGCACAGAAAACCAAUGAUGUCGCUGCUAUCAAAAUCAUAAACUAAUCCGGGAUCAACUGCUGCAGCUGGAUUGACAUGCCCGGAUCCAUAAUCGAAAGGGCUCCAUGAAGGAUGGACUGAUUUGACUAUAGCAGCUAUAGCAGAAACAUGUGGGCAGGACAUUGAAGUGCCCGAGAUUAUGUUGUAGUCGAUUGAUCUUCCAGCAGUGUUAGCAGUAGCCGAUGGAGACCAUGCUGCCAGGACGUUCACGCCUGGUGCUGUUAUAUCCGGCUGAAAUCAAUAGGUGAAAAACAUGAGUUUUACACAUCAUUCGAAACUUCUUGCUUGUGAAAUAGCAAAAGUCUCAAUUGGAUUCAUCUCUUCUCCACUUGUAUGUUUCUGAAAACUUCCAAACACGUACUUUAAUUAAAUCCGGGCUGAUGACAUUAGGACCCGCGGAUGAGAACAUUGCCAUUUCAGGUGCUGGUUUAGUCGGCAGAACCGCCAUUGUCCGGGAUAUUCUAGCCACCGGGUUUCUGUUACAACAGAAAAGCUUUUCUGCUUCCUGAAUGCUGAUUAAUGCGCCCGGUAUUUCAAACUGAAACCCGAUGUCUUUGGCUAGUGGAUCAACAAGUAUUAUCCCCACACCGCCAGCUUGUUUUACAGCAGCAGCCUUUUCAUUUCGGUGAUCAAGAAUUAUUUCAAGUGUGCAGACAACAAUCUUUCCCUUAACCAGAGCUGGAUCUAGGGUGUUGCUCUUACAAAAGCUGACAGAUAAAGCA